rnacentral:rRNA from 1 species
UACGGAGGAGGCAAGCGUUAUCCGGAAUUAUUGGGCGUAAAGCGUUCGUAGGCGGCAAAGCAAGUCUGUUGUCAAAGUCCGCAGCUCAACUGCGGGAAGGCAAUGGAAACUGCUUAGCUAGAGUGUGGCAGGGGUAGGGGGAAUUCCCGGUGUAGCGGUGAAAUGCGUAGAUAUCGGGAAGAACGCCAGUGGCGAAAGCGCCCUACUGGGCCACAACUGACGCUGAGGGACGAAAGCUAGGGGAGCGAAAGGG